GAGGGGCACCAGUAUGUGUUCUACAAGUCGGAGACAUAAUCAGAUCAGCCUUCUAGAAAAUCAGCGUGUGGGUCCCUGUGGAGAAUAAACUGGACGAACCUGAAGAUAGCAAAGCUGGUGAGGAGGUCGCUAAGCAAACUACAGACCAACCAUCAGGACCAAGACAGAAGGAGCCUGAAAGACAACAACUCAGCGGCAGCUGCCUCCCCCGAUGGUGGUUGAGAUGGACCGCUUUCAUGGGCCAGCCCAGGCCCAGGCUGCCAAACAUGGCUCCUGCUGCAGAAUGCUUCUGCCUGAAAGAAAGCCAGUCUUCUUUUCACUUCGCACACAGACGCGAGCUCGCGGUGGCCCUGUGAUUCUGGAGGCCAGACGUCUGACUUCAUGGUGUCAACAGAGCCGGGCUCUCUCCAGAGGCUCCAGGGAAGAUCCCAUUCCUUGCCGUGUCCAGCUUCUGGUAGCUGUUAACAUUCCUCUCCUUGCAGCCUAUAUUAGUCAGUUUUCUCCAGAGAAACAGAACAUCUACAUAUACUCAUGUGAUUCUGGAAACUGGCAAGUCCAAAAUCUGCAGAAAGAAGUCAGCAGGCUGGAGGCCCAGGGAAGACUUUCAGCUGAGCCUGAGGGCGUCUGCUGGCAGGAUUCCCUCUUGCUCAAGGGAGGUCAGCCUUUUAUUCUAUUCAGAAUUCAAGUGAUUAGA